UGCAUCUGCGGCCAGUGAGGAUGAGACCCUCCGGGGCAGGAGGUUCGACUCGAGCGAAGCGAGAGAACGUUGCGUCAGCAACGGCCCGCAGGGCGCGCCACAAAGUGGCGAGUCAUCCUCUAUCACCGACCA
rnacentral:sRNA from 1 species